GGUGAACGCUAGCUACAGGCUUAACACAUGCAAGUCGAGGGGCAGCGCAGUGUAGCAAUACAUGGGCGGCGACCGGCGCACGGGUGCGUAACGCGUAUCCCACCUUCCCGUUACUCAGGGAUAGCCUUCCGAAAGGGAGAUUAAUACCUGAUGGUGUUCAAAUUCCGCAUGUUAUUUGAACUAAAGAUUCAUCGGUAACGGAUGGGGAUGCGUGACAUUAGAUAGUAGGCGGGGUAACGGCCCACCUAGUCUACGAUGUCUAGGGGUUCUGAGAGGAAUGUCCCCCACACUGGAACUGAGACACGGUCCAGACUCCUACGGGAGGCAGCAGUGAGGAAUAUUGGUCAAUGGUCUGAAGACUGAACCAGCCAAGUAGCGUGAAGGAUGAAGGUUCUAUGGAUUGUAAACUUCUUUUAUACGGGAAUAAAACCUCCCACGUGUGGGAGCUUGUAUGUACCGUAUGAAUAAGCAUCGGCUAACUCCGUGCCAGCAGCCGCAGUAAAAC
rnacentral:rRNA from 1 species